AGGAGCGCGCAGGCCUGCUCCACGUGGCGGCGGUGGAGGGCGUUGGAUCCGGCGGGCGGCGGCAGUCCCUACACGGAUCCAACGGUGGUGGCCGUCAAUGCAAGAAUCCAGCGGUGGCGGCCGUCCCCGCACGGAUCCGGCAGCCGGCCGCCAUCUCCCCACGCGGGAUCCAGCUCCCCUCCUCUCCCCUUCCUUCCCUCCCUAGAUCCGGCAGAGGGGAGGGGCGUCGGCGGCAUUGCGGCGGGAGGGAAGCGCGGAUCUGCCGGCGGGUGGCGCGGAGGCCGGCGGGAGGCAGGCGGCACUAUGGCCGUCGGGCGGAAGCCCACUGCCGGAUUCUUGGGUUUCGUUUUUUUAAAAAAAAUUAUGUUAUUUCGGAUUUUUGUUUUCCCGUGGGGAUGCGCCACCCGCACGCAAAAAUCAUCAUUUUCCCAGACCCCUAGGUGCGUGUGGGCCGCCUACCCGCGCCCAAAAAUCAUUUUAGCCCUCACACAAAAAUCUUGGUUGUAGUAGUGAAUGGUAAAAGUGAAGGUGCAAAGUGAGAGCUAGUUGUCAACAUGAGGGGUAGAAACGAUUUAAAGGAGUUGGCAGUGGUUUGAGGCUGUGAUCCUACUUGUACUUCACUCAACCAAGUAUGAGUGGCUGUCUAGUGGCCUCAUGUAGAUGUUUCCUAGGAGAAGAUGAGAGGUAUGGUGAAGUUUGGGUGUAAAUUGGACUUUAACUCCCUCUCUCUCUCUUUCAUUGUCUCUUUGAAAAUAUAAUUUAGGAUCAAAGAGAUGAUUCACCAAGGUUGUUUGUAGGUAUUUGGAAAACAAAUAGGCCCAUAUAUAGAUGUUUCCUAGAAGGCUUGGAGUGGUAGAGUGGCAUUUUGGGUGGAAAUUCAAUUUAAACCCUUCUCUCACCUUUUGAGAAAUAAAAGAAGAUUUAAAUGAGAGAAGAGCAGAUGAUGUGUUGGCUAGGGUUGUAUGAUGAGUGGGCCCCAUAAGGACUUGGUCCCACAUUUAAGAGAGAUGUAGAAGGAGAGAACUAGAAGCUCUAAAUUUUCCAUGUGUUGGCACUAUCACACUAAACUAUAUUACUCUCUUUCUCUCAUCCAUUUAAUUUAGAAUUAAGGCCGGGGGAGGGGGGGUGACAGGGAGACAGCAAGGUAGACAAGGAUUUGAUGGUUCAAGGUGCCAAGUUCCAAAGUUUAAUUACUUUUGCUUUUACCAUGGUAAUUUAGUAAAGUUGACUAGUUAAUCUAUUGACCACAGUCCAGAAUACUGUUUACCUAACUUAUGGCUCUCAUUUUAUGAGGUUACAUUUCGAAUUAGACUAAGCCAUUGCACCAGAUGAUAGAGUAAAGUAUGCUUAACAUUUUGACCUAGAGAUUUUGCAAGAUGAGUUAUGGUUUAAUUUUGGUGAAGGUGCAAAGUAGGCUAAUUGGUAUGCUGUUUCCAGAUUUUUUAGCUGAGUUCAAGGAUUUAUUUGGGUUACCAAUUGAUGUGAUAAAUUAUUAUAACUAAAAUUUCUGGGAGCUUAGGGUAUUGUUUAGUAUUUAUGAGAAUUUUGGUGGGAUUUAUUGUUGCCUCAUUUAUUUUUAGGAAUUUUCUCUUUAGACAAAGCAUGCAUAUGCAACCUAUUAUGAGAUGUACCAAGAAUAUCCAAAAACAAUCUUAAAAGAAUAAUAUGCAGAUACAAGCAAGUUCUUUUUAUCUCAAUUUAGGUUUGCGUAUUUUGAUACCUACCUUUCAAUUUGUUUGAUAUUUAACUUAAAUAUAUUUUUUUAGUUAGGUUGAAAAUGCAAAACCGAGAAGAUUAGGUUUCUAGUUUAUGGUCAAAGCAAAAUUUUUGUUUCAAAAUUUUUUACCACAAGAUUUGUAAACUUUUACUUUUGGACUUAGUUUUGAUUUGGCCAGAAAAAUUAUGUGUUUUAUUUUAUUUUAGGGAGUUAUAUGCUCUAGUAUGCUUCUAUGUUCACCAAAAACUUUUGAAUUCAAAAUGUUUUAAAUUUUCCACAAAAUUUUUCCAUGGUGAAAUUCCUUGUAUGUUACAAGUUGAUAUGUGAAAUAAAAUUUUACCUUGUAAAAUAUGACUUGGAAUAGUUUUAUUAACUUCUCAAUAAUUAAUUAUGCUCUCUUAAAUUUUCUUGAAAUUUUCCGAGCUAAAGAAAUAAUUUUAAUAAUACUAACAUAAUUUCGGUCAUUAUUUAAAUUGAAAAAACAAUUUAAAAUUCUCUUCAUAUCUUUUGGCUGAAACCAAGCCAACUACUAUCCCUCUCCGUGCAGGCCCAAAGCCAUGCCAGGGAUCCGCGCGCCAUGGUGAGCAGCCGAUGAAUCUUCCGCCAUCUCCUGUCCUUCCGUCGUCUGACGAGGUAAGGUUUUCCCCCCCGAUUACCCCCAUUGCUACCUAAGUUGGUGAUUCAUUGGUAGAUCUACUUGUGGUUUAAUGUGCAAGAAUGCUUGGUAGAUCUGGUUGUUGUUGAAAGUGCAAGAAUGCAAGAAUGAAUGGUGUGAACUAAUGCAUAUGUCCUGGUAUGCUUAUUUCAAAGUACUGUGCAUAUGUGUAUUAUACACAAGUUAGCAUGCACAUUGAUCUUUGCCUCUUUUGCCGUAGGCCCUAGUAUGCAUAUGUGUAUUAUACCAUACUGUAUUAUGUACUUAUAAUGUGAAAUUAUAUGUGGAAUGCUCCACUGCAUAUUUGCUCUUGGUUAAUUAGUUUAGGAAAAAUUGCAAAUAUGAUCUUGUGAGAAUUUGUGAAGUACAUAGAAGGCAAUUUGUUUUGACAAUGAAGUAUGGUUUGUUGUUUGUUAAUUUAGUUCUCCGUAAUACUGCCUAAAUUUAAAUGUAUGUUUGGUGAACUGAAAUAGAUAUGGUUAGUGAUGUCAUUGUUUUUUAACGACUAUUUGUCCUUGUGAGUAAGGUUGUCAUUCCUCAGGUUUACUGCCUUUAGUGUGGCUAUAUGUCUCCCAAACCUGAGAAAACGAGGAAUGUGAUAGUAGCCGAGAAAUUGAUCAUGUUUCCUCCCCCCCCCCCGCCUCUUUUGCUUUCCUACUAGGUUUUGCAAUAAUUUUUGGCAUGACAAUCUUAAUUAUGUCCCAUAGUCUAAAACUCACAAAAACAUCAGAAAUCCGCUAAGAAUAAAUUAAGUAAAGAACAUGCAUACACAAAUAAUAUUAAUCAUGUCGUAAUAAAUUGCUAAGGUCAGAGACCAUCGGAUGACACAAUGGACAGUGCUAUGGCCUUAUUAAAAGCAGCAAGAGAAAUUAAAUAUGCUUGUGAGCGCACACAUGCACGACAUACAUAGAGUUGAGACCAACAGAUGGAUCCACUAUAGAUCGCCCCAUAUGGUCAACAAUUUAUUGAAGAUAACAUUAACAUAACUUGGCCAUAACUUGAAGCAAAACAACAUAUUCUUAUGAUAGGCAUUAAGACUGGUAGCAAUGCAAGCAUGUUGUUUUAGGCUUGUCCUUCCAUCUUAGCAAGAACUCCCAUUUCGUCCAUCUUAGCAAGAACUCCCAUUUCGUCCAUCUUAGCAACAA